rnacentral:tRNA from 1 species
GGACAUGUAGCUCAGUUGGUAGAGUGUCUGCCUACCAUGCAUGAAGCCUUGGGCUCUAUUCCCAGCACCA